rnacentral:tRNA from 1 species
GGCCAUGUAGCCCAAUCUCGGCAGAGGCAGCAGGUCGAGAGCCUGUCCAGUGGCGGUUCGAAUCCGCCCAUGGUCACCA